UACGUAGGGGCCGAGCGUUGUCCGGAGUUAUUGGGCGUAAAGCGCGCGCAGGCGGCCUCGCGCGCCCGACGUGAAAGCCCCCGGCUUAACCGGGGAGGGUCGUUGGGGACGGCGGGGCUUGAGGGCGGGAGAGGGCGGUGGAAUUCCCGGUGUAGUGGUGAAAUGCGUAGAGAUCGGGAGGAACACCUGUGGCGAAGGCGGCCGUCUGGGCCGACCCUGACGCUGAGGCGCGAAGGCGUGGGGAGCGAACAGG
rnacentral:rRNA from 1 species